GAUGAACGCUGGCGGCGUGCCUAAUACAUGCAAGUCGAGCGAACGGACGAUAAGCUUGCUUCUCUGAUGUUAGCGGCGGACGUGUGAGUAACACGUGGAUACCCUACCUAUAAGACUGGGAUAACUUCGGGAAACCGGCGCUAAUACCGUAUAAUAUUUUGAUCCGCAUGGUUCAAAAGUGAAAUACGGUCUUGCUGUCACUUCUAGAUGGAUCCGCGCUGCAUUAGCUAGUUGUUACGGUAACGGCUUACCAAGGCAACGAUGCAUAGCCGACCUGAGAGGGGGAUCGGCCACACUGGAACGGAGACACGGUCCAGAGGCCUAAGGGAGGCAGCAGAAGGGAAUCUGACGCAAUGGGCGAAAGCAUGACGGAGCAACGCCGAGUGAGUGAUGAAGGUCUUCGGAGCGUAAAACUCUGUUAUGAGGGAAGAACAGAUGUGGAAGUAACUGUGCACAUAGUGACGGUAACUAAUCAGAAAGCAACGGCUAACUACGUG
rnacentral:rRNA from 1 species